AAAGCGUAAUAGCUCACUGGUCGAGUCGGCCUGCGCGGAAGAUGUAACGGGGCUAAACCAUGCACCGAAGCUGCGGCAGCGACGCUGAUGCGUUGUUGGGUAGGGGAGCGUUCUGUAAGCCUGUGAAGGUGGCCUGUGAGGGUUGCUGGAGGUAUCAGAAGUGCGAAUGCUGACAUAAGUAACGAUAAAGCGGGUGAAAAGCCCGCUCGCCGGAAGACCAAGGGUUCCUGUCCAACGUUAAUCGGGGCAGGGUGAGUCGACCCCUAAGGCGAGGCCGAAAGGCGUAGUCGAUGGGAAACGGGUUAAUAUUCCCGUACUUGGUGUUACUGCGAAGGGGGGACGGAGAAGGCUAUGUUGGCCGGGCGACGGUUGUCCCGGUUUAAGCGUGUAGGUGUGUGUUCCAGGUAAAUCCGGUUCACUUUAACACUGAGGCGUGAUGACGAGGCACUACGGUGCU
rnacentral:rRNA from 1 species